rnacentral:snRNA from 1 species
UGGCAGCGACUACCCGCGUCCAAUCGUCGACCAUGGGAAUGCGAGCAAGGCCUGCAUCAGUCGCAUUGCUGCUGCUUACCGUGCGGGCAAGGACGCAGCUGGUGAUGACGGCGACGCAGGCGGCAGUGGCGCCAAGACUCCGGCAACCAAGCCACGGUCUUCGGGCAAGGCAAAGGCUGAGCCAGCACAAGGCAAAGGCAGUGGCAGAGCAUCCAAGGGGAAGCCCGUCGCUGGCGC